AUAAACUUGUUUCGAAGUAUGAGAAUUCUGGCACUUAUUCUGUUAGAUCUGGCUAUAGACUGUUGGCCAAGACAAUCUAAUCAUAUUCCUGAUAAGGUCUGGAAAUACCUUUGGGAGUUAUCCUCUCUGCCAAAAAUAAAAAUUUUUAUGUGGAGAGCUUUGCUUAAUGCAAUUCCAGUAAAUGAUAGUUUGUCUAGAAGGGGUGUUAAAGUGGAGCCCAUUUGCCCUGUUUGUUAUCAGGAAGUAGAGACUAUCGAACAUUGUCUAUUUUGGUGUUCCUUUGCUAGAGCUACUUGGUUCAUUGGCCCCUGUGCGUAUAAACUAGAUAUGAUUGGGUUCUCAUCUCUCUUAAUAAUUGGUGGCUGUCUUUGAUGCAAGAAGAUGAGGAGGGCAAAAUGCAGAGGGAGGUUCUUAGCUUGGCAGCUAUUUCUUGUGGAAAGCUUGUAAUAGAGCCAUUUUUUAUCGAUGCAUUCCAAAUCUAAUUUGCAUUUCUCAGCAGAUUGUAUCUGAUGCACACGAGCAGCGUUUGAUGGGGUCUACCGAUCAGUCUCAAAUUGGUGCUAGUGUGUUGCAAACAAAUGAUAAAGAGAGCAGAUGGGUGAGUCCUCCCUUAGGCACAGUGAAGUUUAUUUCGGAUGUAGCUAUGAAAGAUGAUAGGAAUUUUGUUGUGAUUGCUGAGGUUGCUCGAAAUCAUACAGGAAAAGUUAUUAAUGGUAUAACUAAGAAAAUAGAUUGUUCUUCAGCUCUAGUAGGGGAGGCGUAAGUAGUUUUACAAGCUUUAAGUCUAGUGAAAAGAAUGCUGUGUUCAUCUAUCAUUAUAGAAUCUGAUUCUGCAAAUCUUAUCUCGACCAUCUCCAAUUUCCCUUUAGUUAAAUUUUGGGAAAUUCAUGCAUCAGUUGUUGCUAUUCAGCAAUUGGCUUUUUCUUUCUAGCAUGUAGAAUUCUGUCAUGUUAAAAGAAAGAUCAACGUGGCUGGACAUAUGGUAUCCCAGCUUAGUGAUAAAAACUUGUUGCCUUGUAAUUGGGUUACUGAAACUCCUUCUCAGUUGGCUCUAGUGCUUGCAGCUGAUGCUUCUGGUGUUAUGUAAUGCUUUUAGCAAGUUAAAAAAAUAUAUAUAUAUAUAUAUUUUUUUAACUUGCUAAAAGCAUUACAUAACACCAGAAGCAUCAGCUGCAAGCACUAGAGCCAACUGAGAAGGAGUUUCAGUAACCCAAUUACAAGGCAACAAGUUUUUAUCACUAAGCUGGGAUACCAUAUGUCCAGCCACGUUGAUCUUUCUUUUAACAUGACAGAAUUCUACAUGCUAGAAAGAAAAAGCCAAUUGCUGAAUAGCAACAACUGAUGCAUGAAUUUCCCAAAAUUUAACUAAAGGGAAAUUGGAGAUGGUCGAGAUAAGAUUUGCAGAAUCAGAUUCUAUAAUGAUAGAUGAACACAGCAUUCUUUUCACUAGACUUAAAGCUUGUAAAACUACUUACGCCUCCCCUACUAGAGCUGAAGAACAAUCUAUUUUCUUAGUUAUACCAUUAAUAACUUUUCCUGUAUGAUUUCGAGCAACCUCAGCAAUCACAACAAAAUUCCUAUCAUCUUUCAUAGCUACAUCCGAAAUAAACUUCACUGUGCCUAAGGGAGGACUCACCCAUCUGCUCUCUUUAUCAUUUGUUUGCAACACACUAGCACCAAUUUGAGACUGAUCGGUAGACCCCAUCAAACGCUGCUCGUGUGCAUCAGAUACAAUCUGCUGAGAAAUGCAAAUUAGAUUUGGAAUGCAUCGAUAAAAAAUGGCUCUAUUACAAGCUUUCCACAAGAAAUAGCUGCCAAGCUAAGAACCUCCCUCUGCAUUUUGCCCUCCUCAUCUUCUUGCAUCAAAGACAGCCACCAAUUAUUAAGAGAGAUGAGAACCCAAUCAUAUCUAGUUUAUACGCACAGGGGCCAAUGAACCAAGUAGCUCUAGCAAAGGAACACCAAAAUAGACAAUGUUCGAUAGUCUCUACUUCCUGAUAACAAACAGGGCAAAUGGGCUCCACUUUAACACCCCUUCUAGACAAACUAUCAUUUACUGGAAUUGCAUUAAGCAAAGCUCUCCACAUAAAAAUUUUUAUUUUUGGCAGAGAGGAUAACUCCCAAAGGUAUUUCCAGACCUUAUCAGGAAUAUGAUUAGAUUGUCUUGGCCAACAGUCUAUAGCCAGAUCUAACAGAAUAAGUGCCAGAAUUCUCAUACUUCGAAACAAGUUUAU
rnacentral:misc_RNA from 1 species